AAACCCUCACCCUUGCGAUGUUAAAGUCGUCUUGUGGUGGAUUUGGAUCGUGCCGUAAUUGGCUCAUCCUUAAAUGCAUUAGCUUGCGCUUUUUACAGUGCUCGGCAUGGCAUAAUAAUUAUCUACGCCGUCGCCUUAGACCUGUUCUAAAUGUGCAGCUUCUAAUCGUCCCUUGUGGACAAUUUACUUAACG
rnacentral:misc_RNA from 1 species